UGAUAGAGGCGCGGUUGCCAUCAGUAGUUUAGUUUAAACGCCGGGAAGCGUUAGACGAAAGGGGUCACCGCCGAAGAACCGGACAUUUUCCCGAGUGGUCGGUAUCUGGGACGCAGGAGAACAUCCUGCGGACUGUCGCAAUUGCGGAGAGCUGUC
rnacentral:ncRNA from 1 species